GACGUAGGGCGCGAGCGUUUGUCCGGAUUUAUUGGGCGUAAAGAGCUCGUAGGCGGUUUGUCGCGUCGACUGUGAAAACUGGGGGCUUAACCCUGAGCUUGCGGUCGAUACGGGCAUGACUGGAGUUCGGCAGGGGAGACUGGAAUUCCUGGUGUAGCGGUGAAAUGCGCAGAUAUCAGGAGGAACACCGGUGGCGAAGGCGGCAUCCUGGACCAAUACUGACGCUGAGGAGCGAAAGCCCAGGGGAGCAAACAGG
rnacentral:rRNA from 1 species